GUGGGGAAUAUUGGACAAUGGGCGAAAGCCUGAUCCAGCCAUGCCGCGUGUGUGAAGAAGGUCUUCGGAUUGUAAAGCACUUUAAGUUGGGAGGAAGGGUAGUAACCUAAUACGUUGCUACUUUGACGUUACCGACAGAAUAAGCACCGGCUAACUUCGUGCCAGCAGCCGCGGUAAUACGAAGGGUGCAAGCGUUAAUCGGAAUUACUGGGCGUAAAGCGCGCGUAGGUGGUUCAGUAAGUUGGAAGUGAAAUCCCCGGGCUCAACCUGGGAACUGCUUUCAAAACUGCUGAGCUAGAGUACGGUAGAGGGUGGUGGAAUUUCCUGUGUAGCGGUGAAAUACGUAGAUAUAGGAAGGAACACCAGUGGCGAAGGCGACCACCUGGACUGAUACUGACACUGAGGUGCGAAAGCGUGGGGAGCAAACAGGAUUAGAAACCCCGGUAGUCC
rnacentral:rRNA from 1 species